rnacentral:lncRNA from 12 species
AUGCCCGGGCGCAUCCAGCGGCUUCGGGGGCCGCUCCCCGGCUGCCCGGCUGCCCCGCGCCCGGCUCCGUCAGCGGCCCCGCCCCGCCCCGCCCGGCCCGGCCCGGCCCCCUGCACACGUCCGCGAGCGGCUCCAGGUGCCUCCGGCCCCCCGCGCCCGCGCCCGCUCCGCACUUGCGCGCCCGCACACACACGCACGUGUCCACACACACCGUCCCCGGCCCCGCCCCGCCCCGCCCCGCCCCGCAGGCGCCCCCGGGCGAGGCGACCCGGCACGGCCUCCGCGGGGCGGGGGGUGCCGGGCGCGGCGCCCCCCGAGCCAACUCCUCGCGGCCGCCGGGGCUCCACCGCACCGCCGAGGCCCCGCCGGCUCCCGCGGCCCCUCACCGCGAGGCUGGCCCCGCAGCCCCGGAAUGCAAAGCGGGACCGGCGAGGAGGAAGGGGAGGGUCCUCCCCGGGGCUUGCUGCGUCGCAAUUCCUCCGGGGCCGCACGCAGCCGACCUGGGGCGGGGGGCGCUCCCAUUCUCACGGCUGCUUCCGGCCUUCCCGGGCGCGGGGGCUCUGUCGGUCGGAGCGCAAGCCCCGAGAACCGAGGCCGGCGCGCCCGGCCGCGGCCACCCCGCCGCCCGCGCCGCGCCCCGACCCGACCCGACCUGCCCGCGCGCCCGGCUCCGCGUCGCCGCGGGGAGCGCCCCGCAGCCGCAGCCGCAGCCGCAGCCGCCCCUCCGGGAGCCGCGCGCCGACAGCCGAGCCCGCGGAACGCGGCGCGCCCUCCCCGGAAGCCCGGCCCCGAGCCGCGUACCUCGGCGACCGCGAGCACAGCGCGCCGCCCGGGAUCCCGCCCGUGACAGCCCCUCCGGCCCCGCUCGGGGUUUCUCCGAUUCGGCGUCACAAUAAUAAGGAAAAUUCCCCGCAAGCCUGCGGGCGGCGGAAUGCGCCGCCCACAGCGUCCGCGCCCGGCCAAUGGGCGCGCUCCCGGGGCGGACGGGCACCAAUGGCAGCCGCGGCGGGGCGGGAGGCGGGGCGGCGCGGGCUGCGAGCGGGAGGCGGGCGGAGAGAGGCCCAGGCCCGGGCGGGGGGCGGGGGCGGGGGCGGGGGCGGCCCGCGGGGACGGGACCCGCGCGCCCCGCGAGGGCCCCGCGGCGCGGCCGGGAGUCGGCGGGGAGUCGGCCGGGCCCGGCGGCGAGACGCGGGGCGGGGGCGGGGGCGCCGCAGCCGGACCGCCCGUCGCCGGCGGGGAAGCGCGGGGCGGCUCCGCGCUCGGUGGUUUUCGGGUUCUGGCUCUUCGGGUUGA